rnacentral:rRNA from 1 species
AGAAGCUACUAAGAGCUUACGGUGAAUGCCUUGGCGAUAAGUGCCGACGAAGGACGUGGGACACUGCGAUAAGCCUCGGGGAGCUGUGAACAAGCGUUGAUCCGGGGAUCUCCGAAUUGGGAAACCAGCCGUUGCGAACCAACGGCAUCACAUGCUGAAUAUAUAGGCAUGUUGAAGGGAACCUGGGGAACUGAAACAUCUAAGUACCCGGAGGAAAAGAAAGAAAAAUCGAUUUCCAAAGUAGCGGCGAGCGAAAUGGAAAGAGCCUAAACGGUCGUGCGUGCAUGACCGGGUUUGGACUGCAACAUGUGAGACGUAUGAUAGAAGAAUGGUUUUGGGAAAGCCAGCCAGAGAGGGUGAAAGCCCCGUAUUCGAAAUCAGAAGUCAGCUAGCAGUAUCCAGAGUACCACGAGACACGAGAAACCUUUUGGGAAGGAAGGGGGACCACCCCCUAAGGCUAAAUACUACUUAGUGACCGAUAGCGUAUAGUACUGUGAAGGAAAGGUGAAAAGAACCCCGGGAGGGGAGUGAAAGAGAACCUGAAACCCUAUGUUUACAAGCUGUGGAACCACCAUAUGAGUGGAACCGCGUACUUUUUGUAGAACGGUCCGGCGAGUUAUGUAUACAGGCAGGUUAAGGACUAAAGGUCUGGAGCCGAAGGGAAACCAAGUCUUAAUAGGGCGCAGGUCGGUAUAUGUAGACCCGAAACCGGGUGACCUAUCCAUGUCCAGGUUGAAGUUGCCGUAAAAGGCAAUGGAGGACCGAACACACAUCUGUUGAAAAAGGUGGUGAUGAGGUGUGGAUAGCGGAGAAAUUCCAAUCGAACCCGGAGAUAGCUGGUUCUCCCCGAAAUAGCUUUAGGGCUAGCCUCAUAAGAGAUUACCGGAGGUAAAGCACUGACUGGACGAGGGGCCGAGAGGUUACCAACUCCUAUCAAACUCUGAAUGCCGGAUAAUUGAUUUAUGGGAGUCAGACUGCGUGAGAUAAGUUUCGCAGUCAAAAGGGAAACAGCCCAGACCCACAGCUAAGGUCCCCAAAUAGGUUUAAGUGGAGAAGGAUGUGGGGUUGCGAAAACAACCAGGAUGUUGGCUUAGAAGCAGCCAUACAUUUAAAGAGUGCGUAAUAGCUCACUGGUCGAGUGACCCUGCGCCGAAAAUUCAACGGGGCUCAAAACCUAUACCGAAGCUUGGGCUUUUAGUAGUUAGAAAAUAGUUAUUAGUAGUUAGGAGAAACGUCAAAUGGAAAGUUACAAAGGCUUGAAGGUUUAUCAAAAGUCUUAUGAACUGGCCAAAGAGAUGUAUAUGAAGGUUGCUUCAAAAAUGCCGAAAGAAGAGCAGUAUGGACUUGCAAGCCAAGUAAAGCGUGCAUCAACAAGCAUACCGUUGAACAUAGCAGAAGGUUAUGGGAAAUGGUGCGGCGAAAAAGAGUUGAUAAGGUUUUUAAUGAUGGCAAGAGGUUCAUGUUGUGAAAUGGAAGUGCUGUUAAGCUUUUCAAAAGACUUUGGAUAUAUAUCCGAAGAGGAAUAUGCAAGGUAUAGCAGUCAGUACGAAGAAAUAGGCAAAAUGCUUACAGGAUUAAUGAAAAGUGUAAGUAGCAAUACUAACGACUAACCGCUAUUUUCUAACUACUAAAGGGGUAGGGGAGCGUUGUAUGCGGGGUGAAGUCAUAGCGUAAGCGGUGGUGGACUGCAUACAAGUGAGAAUGCCGGAAUGAGUAGCGAGAAUUAUGUGAGAAUCAUAAUGGCCGAAAGUCUAAGGUUUUAGGAGGAAGGUUCGUCCGCUCCUAGUAAGCCGGGAGCUAAGGUGAGGCGGAAACGCGUAACCGAUGCACAUACGGUUGAAAUUCCGUAGCCUCCAAAAGAUUUAAGCACAAGGACACUUUGAAAGCCGUAAAGCCGGGCGAUGGUUGACCCGGUCGAAAGGGACCGAAAUUUAGUAGGGAAGUUACGGUGGACGAAGGCGAGAAAAGUUGUGUGUAUAUCUGAGGAGCCCGUACCGCAAACCGACACAGGUAGAUAGGAAGAGAAUUCUAAGGCCAACGGGAGAAGGGUUGUUAAGGAACUCGGCAAGUUGACCCCGUAACUUAGGGAGAAGGGGUGCUCCGGAAACGGAGCCGCAGAGAAUAGGCCCAGGCGACUGUUUAGCAAAAACACAGCUCUAUGCUAAAUCGAAAGAUGACGUAUAUGGGGUGACGCCUGCCCGGUGCUGGAAGGUUAAGAGGAGAUGUGCAAGCAUUGAAUUGAAGCCCCAGUAAACGGCGGCCGUAACUAUAACGGUCCUAAGGUAGCGAAAUUCCUUGUCAGGUAAGUUCUGACCCGCACGAAUGGCGUAACGAUCUGGGCACUGUCUCAACAACCCGCCCGGCGAAAUUGUAGUACCGGUGAAGAUGCCGGUUACCCGCGACUAGACGGAAAGACCCCAUGGAGCUUUACUGUAGCUUAAUGUUGGAUUUCGGUAUUCCAUGUACAGGAUAGGUGGGAGACUGGGAAGCAAGGGCGUCAGCUCUUGUGGAGUCAACGGUGGGAUACCACUCUUGGAAUGCUGGAAUUCUAACCUGCGGCCGUGAAUCCGGUCGGGGGACAUUGUUAGGUGGGCAG